AUGGUGCCGCUCAGGUUCAUGCCGGCGAGGUUGAGGCCGGUGACCGCGCCCCGGGCGUUGCAGCUCACGCCCUUCCAGCCGCAAUGCGGCGCAGAGCCCCACCCGCGGAGCUCCCCCAGCGGGUCCACGAGCGAGGCCCUGAUGGCCAGCAGCGCCGCGGCCUCGUCGCCGGCGGCAUUGGACACCGCGACGCAGCACAGGAGCGACAGGGAGAAGGACAGGGAGAAGAAGAACCGCGCAGUGCUACUCAGCCCAGUAGCACUCGCCGCCAUGCUCGGCUCUCCUCUCCUCUGCUCCCCCUUCCCCUUCUCCACUCCUCGGCGCUGCUCAGCUGGUCUCUGCGAUGGAUGA
rnacentral:rRNA from 1 species